GCAUUUUUAGCUCAGUGGAUAGAGCAUCGGUCUUCUAAAUCGUGGGUCGUAGGUUCGAAUCCUAUAAAAUGUAACGCAUGAAAUUCGCUUUAAUAUUCCAAAAUGACAC
rnacentral:tRNA from 1 species